rnacentral:rRNA from 1 species
AGAGUUUGAUUAUGGCUCAGGAUGAACGCUGGCGGCGUGCCUAACACAUGCAAGUCGAACGGAGAGAGCGAGACGGAGAUUCGUCGAAGACUCGCUUGAUCAGUGGCGGACGGGUGAGUAACACGUGGGCAACCCGCCCUGUCGAGGGGGAUAACGGAGAGAAAUCACCGCUAAUACCGCAUAAGCACACGGUGCCGCAUGGCACAGGGUGAAAAGAUUUAUCGCGACAGGAUGGGCCCGCGUCCGAUUAGCCUGUUGGCGGGGUAACGGCCCACCAAAGCUACGAUCGGUAGCCGGACUGAGAGGUUGAACGGCCACAUUGGGACUGAGACACGGCCCAA